ensembl:lncRNA
AUUAAAUCCACCAUAUGCCAUACAAAAAUCCGCUACAUAAUCCUCUAUACCCCAGUCACCUUGACGAAGGCAGAGGAGGCGAUGAACUGCUGGGUUCAUUGUGCGGGUUGUGUAUUCUGUAAUGAUCAGUCCACUGAAGGCAAGUUUAAGAACCCAAGUGCAGUUUAUUGUAGGGAUGGCUGAAGUGAAACUGGCAUUUCGACACGGUGUCGAGAUCCCGAAGCGCAGAUGUUUCGAAACACAGCUCCGAAGUGUGAUUCUAAACACCCAUGUCACGUGACUAAGGCCAUUCAAAGCAAAAAAAGUUUAUAUGAAGAGUUUGGUUCCAAAACGCGAUAAACGCCAAUUUUGAAAAAAACGAGUUACCGCCAAAACAAGCUCCCCAUUGACUCUCUAUUCAAAGUUCGAUAAUCAGUUUUUAACAAAACGCGAUAUCCGCCGUGUUUCGCUGCCCUGUUUCUUCCCUUUUUUCUCAAACAGAGACAAACGCCAGUCCUGUUUUUCCGCAAAGCCCUACAGUUCCAUUCGACCAGUCACCGCGCACCAUUCCAUGACGCAAACUGUCAUGGCGGCACCCUGUCAGUAGACGCCGGUAAACACUCGCCUCAGACUUUUAAGUUUUUAUAUAGGCUACUAAAAUGAAUAACUUUGAUGGUAUUGAGGAGCCAGUGGUCGUGUCGUCUGUGGGAAAGAAGCGGAAGCCGUCAAAAGACAACCACGAAAGGGAAGUCAGAAAGAGAGUCAGAAACUCAGGCGGUGGCAAAAUACCGGCGAUUGCUUGUUCUCACAGUGAAUCAAAAAACUUUUGUCAUGCCGACAAACUGACAGCUGACGAUCUUGUAAAAAACUUCGACACUCUCUACUGUCAUACCACGAAGGCCAAACAAAAUUUUGCUCUAAUGUUACGUAUGAGUUCAGGAUGAAUUUGAAAUGUUGCUAUUAACAGCAUUAAUAUCAGACUGAAAUGAAUGCAAUCUGAAAAAGGCAGCGAGAUGAAUGUACUUUUAAAAAUUGGUUUAAUAUUUUAAUAUAAGUGAUGUUGUUCAAGUUUUGGGGUUUGUCAUAUGUAUAGACAACCUUUCCUUGUUAUUUAUUGUUAUGUCUUUGCUCAAUUUCAUACAGAAAGUGAGUUUUUGUUGAUGAAAUGGAUUUGUAGCAUUUUGGGGAAAAACGUGUUAUGGAUAUAUUGCAUUUUGGAGAAAAAAAAAUGUCUUUGUUUAAUAAAUGUUUAAAAUCAAAAUAUGGAUUUGAUUUU